rnacentral:lncRNA from 1 species
AGCUAUGAUAAGAUUAAUAAGCAGCUUGAGAAGGUCAUGAGGGUCACAGAAUCAGAGAAGGUCCCCAAUCUUUACAUUAAGGCUCUUGUUAUGUUGGAGGACUUCUUGAAUCAGGCCAUGGCGAAUAAGGAGGCCAAGAAGAAAAUGAGUAGCAGUAAUGCUAAGGCCUUGAAUUCAAUGAAACAGAAACUGAAGAAAAACAACAGGCAGUAUGAGGAGUUAAUUAAUAAGUGCAGGGAGAAUCCUGAGAGUGAGGAGGAAGCUGAUGCAGAUGAGGAGACGGAUGAGGACGAGGACGAGGAUUUGGAGUUUGAGGAGGACCCAUCAAAGAUUGCUGUUGGAGCAGAUUCAGGAGAGGAUGAUGAGGACGAAGAAGAUGAAGAUGCAGCUGAUACUGGUAGUGGUUGGGAGAAGAAAAUGAGCAAGAAAGAUAAGCUUAUGGACAAGCAAUUCAAGGAUCCAAGUCAGAUCACGUGGGAUACAGUGAAUAAAAAGUUCAAAGAGAUUGUUGCUGCACGUGGCAAGAAGGGGACAGGAAGAAUUGAGCUUAUUGAGCAGCUUACGUUCUUGACCAGGGUGGCUAAGACUCCUGCUCAAAAGCUUGAGAUUCUUUUCAGUGUUGUGUCUGCGCAAUUUGAUGUUAAUCCAAGUCUCAGUGGACACAUGCCCAUAAAUGUGUGGAAGAAAUGUGUGCAGAAUAUGCUUGUUAUACUUGACAUUCUUGCCCAGUAUCCGGACAUUCUUGUUGAUGACACAGUAGAGCCAGAUGAGAACGAAACCCAGAAAGGACCAGACUUUAAGGGAACAAUCCGGAUUUGGGGAAACUUGGCGGCAUACCUUGAAAAAAUAGAUGUUGAGUUCUUCAAGAGCUUGCAGAUCAUUGAUCCUCACACUCGUGAAUAUGUUGAAAGGCUCAGAGAUGAACCCAUGUUUUUUGUUCUUGCUCAAAAUGUACAGGAAUAUUUAGAACGGGUUGGGGAUUAUAAGGCUGCAGCUAAGGUAGCCUUAAGAAGGGUUGAACUCGUUUAUUAUAAACCACAGGAAGUAUAUGGUGCUAUGAAGAAAUUGGCUGAGCAAACUGAAUACGGAGAGAAUGCCCUAUCUGGUUUGGAAUCCAAAAUUGUUGAGGAAACUAGGGGCCCAACUGCAUUUAUUGUAACUCCAGAGCUUGUGCCUCGGAAACCCACAUUUCCGGAGAGUAGUAGGACACUGAUGGAUAUUCUAGUAUCCCUCAUAUACAAGUAUGGUGAUGAGCGAACUAAGGCCCGUGCAAUGCUUUGUGACAUUUAUCAUCAUGCUAUAAUGGACGAAUUCUUAACCUCCCGUGACUUGUUGCUAAUGAGUCACUUACAGGAUAGUAUACAGCACAUGGACAUCUCAACCCAAAUCCUUUUUAACAGGGCAAUGGCACAGCUUGGCCUAUGCGCAUUUAGGGUGGGACUUAUUGCUGAAGGGCACGGUUGCCUAUCUGAACUAUAUUCAGGUGGGAGGGUGAAAGAGUUGCUGGCACAGGGUGUCUCUCAAAGCCGGUAUCAUGAGAAGACUCCAGAACAGGUACUAAUUUGGUGCAAACUUAUGCAUAUAUUACUUUGAACUUUCAUCCUUUCCAGCUGUCUUCUCCUAUUGUUAUGUUAGUUUGCUGUUACAUUCUCAAAUGAAAUUAUGCCCAACUCCGGCUUGAUAAUUUUUUUUAUUAAUAAUGUGAUAGCUGGGAGUAUGUCAGGAUGUCUCUUCUUAGCGGGAGUCAUAAGGCAACUUUAUAGUUUUUGAGAGUCGGAUGAUUAUAUUUUUUGAAGAUAGCUAUCAAUGGAUGUAUGAAUUUUCUGUGGUCAUUGUCAUAGUUGUUCUCAUCUUCUUCUGUUUCCCUUUUUGUGGAUGAAUAUGUUCUUCGGGAAUGUUUGUGUUACUGAUAUUCUGUUUGAAGAAGCUUCUAGUCAUUGCGAAUAAAUGAAAAUGUACCAAUGCUUACUACAGUAAGUUGAGGGAAGCUAUAAUGACUGUUAGCAGGUGCAUUUAGUGAGAUAUUCAAGGCAUAUGAACCUCAAAGCAUUUUACUGAUGGUAAGUAUCCUGUAUAUUUCUCAAGAAAUAGACUGACACUAAUAUUAAUCCAAAAAUGUAAAUGGGCAUAUGGUUGGAAUAGAGCUUGUCAAUAUGUCCUGUUCUUUAAUUAGUUUUAUGACAAUUAAUUAGCUUUACUAGUUGGUCUAUAGGAGUAAAGGCAUGAAUUAUGGCAUAUAACGAGUCUAAUUUAUGUUGCAUGCAAUGAGUUAAAUGUUUUUUUGCAUCUUUCUUUGUCCUAAAAGUUCCAAACAAAGUGGACAGCUGGCACUCUUUUUGUGAUAUUUGAUCUCAUUAUUUUGUACCUACACAAGUGUGUUAUGUCAUCUUUCCUGAUAGUAAUAGAUGCAAAGAUCCUUGUUUUAAUUUGUGAACUGCAAUUCUUUCACAGAGCACAGCUCUACAAGAUAUCCUUGUUUUAGAUAUGGGCAUGGUUCGAAAUUGCGUUCGAGGCGCACGCCUUGAGGCGCGCCUCAUGGCGAGACUUACGCGAUGUAGGGAAAAUCAGAAGCUCGCGUCUCAUUUGGCUGAGGCUUAUGCCUCAGUGCGUUGCGCCUUAAGGCAUAAUGAGACUUCUUAAUUUGAUUUUUAAAAAUCCUAAGUCUGCUCGUACCUUCACUUAGCCAAUCGACAGUUGCGACUUUACUUCUUCACUUCUUCUUGUUUGACAGCUCGAGGCUCGAUCGACAGCCUACAUGCAGUUCUCACAUGAGUUAUGUCUUCUUCUUCUUCAACAGUAUUUUCAGUUUCUCUCUCUUUUUUUUAGUCACUUCACACUUGCAAUUUUUAAUGAUCUGCAACAUCUUUUUUUUUAUUACAAUUAUAUAUAUAUAAUAAUAUAACAAUCAUAUGUAUAUAUAUAUAUAUAGUAAUAACAUUACAAUUAAUUAAAUUUCAAUUAACUGUAUAUGUAUAUAUAACAGUAUGUAUAUGUAUAUAUGUAUUAAUUAAAUUUUAGUGAUCUUAGGAAAUUUUAUUAUGGGCAAAUUUCAGUAUCAUGUAAUAAGUAUUAACAAUAUAUUUUAUUUUAUUACAGUGAAUUGUUUAUUAUGGGUAAGAAAGAUCCAGCUUGGAAAUAUAGCACCGAAGUUCUUGGAGUUAAUAAAUCUCAUUUAUAUGUGGAAUGCAAUUUUUAUAAGAAAAUUUGUAAAGGAGGGACUUUUAGGUCUUCAAAUUGAGGCUUCCGCCUCGCCUCGUCCGGAGAAAAACGAUUCGUACCGCUUUUAGCUUUUUCGAACAUUGGAUACGAGAAAUGAUAUGGGAGUAUUUUAACCCGUUCUACCUUAGUGAAUAUUUUCAGGUGUCGGUGCUGCAAUGUCACAGAACAACACAUCACCUUCAAAGGCAUCUUCACACCCCAAAUUAUCUAAAGAUUAAUUAUUGUUGUUUGUAAAGUUGCAAUACUGAAAUCAAGUUGAAGCUUUAAGAAAUUGGGAAAUUUAUUGAUACAAAAUGGUAACUGUGUGAAAAAGCCUAGACGUAAGAAAUAGCUGAAAUUUAUUUAUUUUUUACGAAGGUUAAAUAGAUAUUUGUGUACCUCAUGCUUUUGUGGUUGAACAUAAAUAUAGUGGAUGCAUUGAUUCUCUCUUGAAGAGUUUCUAUACAUGUUUUUGAAAUGACGUGCAUUGGUUUUUUGGUUAUUUGUUUUAUUCUUCUUUUGAUUAAUAGAACACAUGUACAUGAGCUGAGUUGGUUUUUGAUUUGUUGUGUUGUCUUUUUUCACUGUAUACUCGGUGUUUUCAUGGGUUACACCCCAAUUUUGGAGCUUCAAGUGAAAGUUUGAUCACUCAAAGAAAUGUUGGGUAUUGCAUGAGAAGAGUGCAUUGCAGAAUGGUCAAAUGUUGCGGAAAAUCAAUUAUAUCUUGGCGAACCAAUAAGUUUUUGUCUAUUAAUCCAACAUAACUCUUCAGAUUUUCCAAUGUUUCGAAACCAGACUCGGACCUACCGGUUGACCGGUUAAACAAGGGAACUGGUUGGUAAAACGAGCAAUUAAGCCCAUUGAACUGGAGCUCUUCAAAAACCACUAAAUAUUGGUGACUCGACGGACCGGUUGAACCGACGAACCGUGUCGAGUCACAGUUUCCUUUUGUUCGUAGCUUUAUCAUGACAAAGAAAUGAAGGUUUCAUUUAAGCUAGAUGGUGCUCUCUCACUCUCCACCAUCUCUGUCUCUCUCAAGUCUCACAUGCAAUGUUCACCAGUCCAAACCAAUUAAAGCUACCUAAGAACAUAGAUGAGGGAUACAUUUAACUACAACACUUUUCAUAGAAUUCUAAUCGAGUAAAAGCAUAUUGCAACAGGAAAAUUUUGAUGAAAGAAGCAAAUUUAGUUUCAUAGAUAGAACGUAAAUCAGAGAGAAGUAAAUGAGGGGGGAAGAAAGAAAUGGUCUAUAUGUAAUUAGCUUUAAGUGGUUUCGAAAUUCGUGGAGCCUGUGGGUUUUGGUGUGAGAAUUUAUGUGGUAUCAUGAGAUAGAGAGAGAGAGUCAAUGAGUUUGUGAGAGAGAGAGAGAGUCAAUGAGUCUGCCAUAUUUUCUUUGGCAACAGAUGGAAAAUAGCUUGGUCCAGUGAAUCGUUACAUUUGACAGCUUCUUUUCUAAUAUACUGUUUGAAUUUUAUCAAUUUUGUAAUAGACAUUUUCAUGUUUUGUUUCUUAAUCUCCUAAAAUAAUACUUUAUGUUUAAACACUUUGCAAGCGUUAUUAUACACGACAUAUUAUAUUGAGAUGCAUGAAUAUGAAUUAUUGCAUAAAAUAUUGUUUAAUUCUAAAUUGUAGACUAGUAUAAAUUAUUUUAUUUUAUUUGUGCAUAUGUAAUAUAUAUUACAUGAAAUUUAUAAUAAUUAUUAAUGUAUUUAAAUAUUUAUUACGUAAUGUUGAUGUCAGGGGAUUCAAUAACGGUUCGACCAUGGGUUGAACCAGUGACCCAUCCCGAUUACUUUUCCGGUUCGAUGUCCGGUCCAAGUUUGAAAACAUUUUUUUUUACCCAAUAUUAUGACACUUAAUUGUUAUAUCAGUAGGUUAAAUUGGGAGAGUUUACCUUAGAAGUUAAAGUACCGGUGCUUUGUUUGUUUCAACUAAAAAUAUGAAGAACUCCAACCAUGAAGUCAUGAACACACUGAGUAUACAGUGAAAGAAGACAGCACAGCUUAUAGAAAAUACUCUAAUCUACCGACACUUUCUAUUUUCUAUUAUUAGCAGAUAGACUUUGCUCUUCCGACCAGACAUCUCUAGGUGUAAUGAGAAAUAGUGUAAUGGGAGAUAAUUUCAAAACUGAUAAAGUGGACUAUUUUUUUUUCUGGUUAAAAGAAAAGAAAAAAGAGUACAAGUUGCACGUCACAUAUCAUUGGUGUAGUGUUAUCAAAGUCUUUUGAGAACCUUUAUACUCUGUAGCUACUCGUCAAUGAAAAGGUUUUUGAUAGUUUGAGAAACUCGAAUCUUUUUCUGUUUGCAUUCUACCCAGAAAAUUAGCAUGCUUUGCGUCAGUCCUGGUGCACGUGUAUAUCAAUAGUUGACAAUGCUGGAGUGCUAGUCUAUCAAGUCCGUGGUGGGUUCAGGGCCGUCUCUUUGAAUCAUUUUUGCUGACAUAUAACAUGUGUUUCAGUAGAAGUAUAACCAGUUGUAUUUCUGCAGAUGUAAUAUUCUUCCAUAUUUGUCCUCAGUUGAUUAUUUCUAGUCAAUUCUAGCUUUUAAUAUAUUUUUCAUUAAUUUUGUCAGGAACGAAUGGAGAGGAGGCGUCAAAUGCCUUACCACAUGCACAUAAAUCUUGAGCUUCUGGAGGCUGUACAUUUGAUUUGUGCCAUGUUGCUGGAGGUACCCAAUAUGGCAGCCAAUAGUCAUGAUGCAAAGCGCAAAUUCAUUAGUAAGACGCUUCGACGGUUGCUUGAGGUGAAUGAUAGGCAAACAUUCACGGGUCCCCCUGAAAAUGUCAGGGACCAUGUAUUGGCAGCCACCAGGGCUCUUAGCAAAGGUGACUUUCAGAAGGCCUUCGAUGUUGUCAAGUCCCUUGAUGUCUGGAGGCUGCUCAGAGACCGAGAGAAUGUUCUUGAGAUGCUGAAGGCCAAGAUAAAAGAAGAGGCUCUGAGGACCUACCUUUUCACCUAUUCGGCGUCAUAUGAUUCUAUGAGCUUGGACAACCUUGCCAGUAUGUUUGAUCUUUCAGAUGCCCAGACACACAGCAUUGUGAGCAAAAUGAUGAUCACCGAGGAGCUCCAUGCAAGUUUGGACCAACCAUCCCGGUGCAUCGUAUUUCAUGAUGUUGAGCACACUAGGUUGCAGGCUCUGGCAUUCGACUUGACGGAGAAGCUAUCAGUUCUUGCAGAAAGCAACGAGAGAGCAGUAGAGGCAAGGAUAGGUGGAGGUGGACUUGACCCCCUGCCUAUGAGGCGCAGGGAUGGCCAGGACUACGCUGCCGCUGCUGCUUCUGGUGGUGGAGGCAAGUGGCAAGACAACCAGACUUUCUCACAGGGAAGACAAGGCAAUACUGGUGGGCGAUCAGGAUACGGUGGCGGGAGACCUUUUGUUCCUGGCCAGAAUUCCGGAGGCGGCUACUCAAGGGAUCGAGCUGGUCAGUCAAGAGGAGCAGGAGGGUAUUCUUCGGGUUACCAGAGCACUCGAUAUCAAGAUGCUGCUUAUGGAGGGCCAGGUAGAAGUUAUCAGAAUAGUUCAGCAAGGGGAGGCCAGAUGGAUGGUUCAACCCGAAUGGUCAAUCUUAAUAGGGGGGUUCGGAUUUAGUAAACGAGAGCUAAGGAGAAGAGAAACACGACCAUUUUGAGUGCUUCCUGAAUCAGAAAACUAUUUAUCAAAAUUAGUAUUUAUUUUUUGUAUGUUGGAUCUGUUAUGAGAUUUUGAUUGCUGUGAACGAUAUUGCUUGUGACAAUUCUGUGUUUGCGACGUAAUAAUCUUAUGCUGUUGGACCAUCUUUAUUUUGAAAUUUUGACCGCGUCAUCUUAUAGUAGGUGAUUCCUUCAAUGUUAUGUUAUAUUUGGAGUUGGCUGCAUAUUUUUUGCUGCAUUUGACAAAGUUGAAAGAUCCAGAACAUGAGUAAUUUUAUAUCUACUGUGCUGAAGAAAUAAAUGACGAGUAUGGAACAACUUAUAUGGAAUCUAUCAUAAUUUCUGAAGAAAUCUAUUUCCUUUGGCUUGGGAGACAAAAGAAAAGAAAAAAGAAAAUUAUUUGAUCGUAUUUUAGGACAGUCAAUCCCAAGGAUGUAUUUAACAAGAGAUGUAUUAAACUAAUGUAAUUGUGCUACUUCUUUUGAGACUAUAUGAGACACCUAGUCUUACUCUUUACUUUUUUAACUUUAUUUUUGUUGAGUUAUGCUUCUGUGAUACUGAGAAUAGCCCCUCUUUUUAAUUUUCUUUUCUUUUAAUAACAAUAAUGUUGCAAUCACAUAAAAGUAUCACAUGCUGUUCAUAUACUGCAUAGGUGGCACCUAUGUAUUUGUUGUUGAGUUAAGUGGGUAAUGCCAACAAUAAAUCCAUGGGUACCACCACAUGCAGUAUGUGAUAUUUUAUGUGACAGUAACAUUAUUUUAAUAAUAAUAAUAUCCUUCUCACAUCAGAUAUCUCUCUCCCCCACAAUUUUCAGCUCACUCGCUACAUAGCCUCCAUCGUAAACCCUAGCUUUUCCUCAUCACCUGAAAUCGGAAAGGUGACUAUACAUCUAUUCUUCAAUUUCGCACUCUUUCUUCUUUUGAUUAUGUGUUAUUGUAAGGAAUUGAGAUCUGAAUUCAAUCCUUACUCACAAUUAACCAAACUCUUAAGAGAAUUAGGAAAAAAAUCAGAGAUUUGAGAGAUACUAAGAGAAGAGAAGAAGAAGAUUGAGAUACAGAGAGAAGAUUGAAAAUUAGGAGAAACAGAACAAUUCAUUUCAUGCAUUACUCAGUGACAUUAAAUGUAUUUAAAAUGAAAAUAGAAGUGAAACAGAAAUUACAAUUAUAUCAUUCUAAACCCACACUAUGAUUCUUGACACUCCACUCUACGAUUCUUGAUGCUCCACUCUACGAUUCCUUACAAUCCCUUCCCCUUAAAAGGGCCUUGUCCUCAAGGACGGAAUGUUGGAAAUCUAGUAUGUAUAUCAGAAAAAGUCUCCCAAGUAGCUUUAGAAGGCAGAGUGUUAGACCAUUGAAUUAACACUUCAGCACAGGUGCAGUAUUCUUCUUUACAAAUCUGCGAUCAAUGACUGCAGUAGGCUUAAUAAUGAAUUGUCCGUGAUCAUAUACUGAUGGCAAGACCGGAGACACCUAUGCUAAAACACCAAUUUUUUUCUUUAAAAGAGAGACAUGGAAUACAUGAUGAAUUUUGGCUUGAGGUGGUAGCAACAACUUAUAAGAAACAGGUCUAAUUCGUUCAAGCACUUGAAAUGACCCAUAAUAUUUUGAAUCUAACUUAGAGUACUUAGACUGUGUCAUAGAAAUUUUCUUGUAGGGUCGAACUCUUAAGUAUACCAUAUCUCCCACAACAAAUACCCUCUCCUGCAUAUGUGCAUCUGUAUAAUUUCGCAUCCUACACUGAGCCUUAGCCAAAUUAUCUUUCAAGAGUUGUAACAAUUGAUUCCUGGAAGCACAAAACUGCCUUGCCGUAGGAUCAGAAAUCUGGCCAUAUUGAUGGAAAGAUAUGUGGGAAGCUUCAUAACCAUAUAAAGCCUGAAAGGGAGUAAGUUGGGCACCAUUGUGGUAAUGGGUGUUGUACCACCAUUCUGCAAGUGACAACCAUUCACUCCAAACCUUAGGUGUGACGCCCCCAAAUUCGGGCAUCUUCCAACCCGACAGAUGGUGCUACACGGUGCUACAGUUCACAUAAACAUUUAAUUGAAAUGCCUCAAAAGAACGGAUAUGUCUAAUAUAUAUAUCAAAAGAAUAUUUACAUUUCCCAGGUUCUUUACAACCAAUACAUUGUCUUUGUCAUAAUAUCAAUAUUAUUCCUUACAAAAUCUAUACUAUUACAUAUGCAAUCUACGGGUUCGCUUUCGCCUUCCCUUUAUCCUUGCCGAAUCCAUCAGUCCGUUCUGUUUUAGCUGCAUUCAUAUGGUUCAAGCAAGAAUGAGCCUAACUAGCUUAGCAAGUACAACAAUUCUAAUAAAAUAGCAUGCUUGAAACAUAGUAAUCAUAUAUCUUCAAUAAUUGAACAAUAGUUACGAAGUACUAUUGAUAAGUCAAAAUAGCACUUCUUUUCAUUCAAAACGUUUUACAACAACAAUAUUCAGUAAAACAUCAAUUCCGGUUCAAGACCAUAAACAUUUCAUAAGUACUUUGAAAAGGACAUCCCGGCACAAAGUCCGUAAGUCCGGUAUAGCUUACGAGCACGUCUAGGUGAUCAACCUAUAAUACUCUAUGUUGAUCAACACUACAUUCAUUAAACGUGCAUACGUUUAAGUUGUGGCAACCUCACGUGCCUGUCGUUUGACGACAAAACAGUUUAGCAUAUUCAGCCUACCUUUGAAAAACCACAACAAUAUUAGUUUGAUAAAUCCUUAUCAAUACUUGAUAUAAGAACAUAGCAUACGUCCAGCCGAAAGGAUUGGCUUGACUUCCUCAGAUACUAACUCAUGUGAAGAAUACAUGAAUCACAAAGACUUGUCCAGAUCGAACUGGAACAAGGGUUAGAGUACUUGCCUUUAGCGUCUGCUACGAUUUAUAACACGUACACUUUAGGUCUUUAAGGUCUCUACAGUAAUUGAUAACAACACAUAGUACAUUAGGUCAAGAAUGAUUACACAUGGUUCUUAAAGAAUCUUACCCUUCUUUUCAAUCUAAAUACAUAUUAGAUUUGUUAUUAUAGGUUACGGCUUUCCAUUACGUCAUUCUUACAUUCAUAAGUAAUUGACUUAGUCUUAACCUUAAGUGUGCAUACUUAAGUUCUAAUAUGUUCAUCCAUUACUAAUCAUGUAAACAUUCAUUACUAUUUAAGUUAUGAAGCUGGCGCUGCAGCGCCGGUUAUUGUACUUGAUACUGCGCUGCGGCGCUAUCUCUUAUUGCUCAAAAAUUCGGACUCGGCGCUGCGGCGCGAGUCUCAGUGUUAAUGGUCGCGCUGCGGCGCCACUCUCCAGAAGGUUAUGGCCACUUUGGCGCUGCGGCGCGGGCUUAUUUGCCUUGGGCUGGCGCCGCGGCGCCAACUCUGUGCACCAGAAAACUUUUACAGACUUUUUAUUUUGUGAGAUUCCUGGACUCGUAACUUCUUCGUUAUAAGUCCGAAUUGGCUCGUUCAAGAGCCUACGGUUCACAAAUCACGUACUCUAUGCUUUCAUGCAAGAAUUUAAUCUAAUCGACUUUGUUUGCUAAAAUUUCACCUAUUAAUCCAUUUUUAACGAAAAUGAUAAACGUUCGUGAACGUUUAACGCUCGUUUCUUCGUUCUCAGUCGGAAUCCGGCCAUUUUCGAGUCCGCAACUCUAUAAUGCCAAAUAUGACUUGUCUCCAUUGAAAACCAAUGUUUCCAAUGUCAAACACAAAAUACGACUUUCAUUCCGAGAAUUUCACGAAUUCGACGAUUAUCGUCAAAUCGUGUAAAUUCCGGCAAAACCUCAUAAUGAAACAUUCUAGGUGGAUUUUAAUCAACAUGUAAGUAUUACAAGUUACUUAUAACACCAACUUAUUAUCAAAGUAGGUUUUGACUUAUUUUUAUACGUUAAUGACUUACUUAACUUAUGAACUCAAAUUCUCAUGCUUAUGACUUAUUAUGAACUUAAGUCCAUCAAUCAAUAUUCUCAUACUAUAUUGAUCAUAUUAACAUCAUAUGACAAAUUGUGUACAAGGUUAUCAACUUAUUUAGAUUCAAGUUGCUUAUUCAUCUUAUUCGGCUUAAGUCCAUUGCUUAUCCAUUUCUCUUAUAUUCUUAACAUCUAAGUUCAUUAGUUACAAUUCUCUUAUCAACCUACCAUGAUAGAGAUGAAGAAAACAAGAUUAUUUACCUUAGAUGAUUACUUCACUUGCUUUUGGAAAUCUACUAAGGAAAGAUUAAGCUCAAAGUGCUUAUUGACUCUAACAAAUAAGUUGUUUGAGAGAGAGUUGAGAGAGAUUUUUAAUCAAGCAAACAAAUGAAUUUGGAGCUCUCUAUUUAUAGACUUUCUAAAGUGAGGGUAGAAUGGGCUUUAUGGCAUCCCACCUCCUUAAGCUAACCUCCUUACUAUUCAUGCCUUAAUCACUAAGUAAUCUUGCUCCACACAUCUUAUACUUGGCCACCACACUUAAUUCUUGCCCAUCACAUAACUUGUUUGCCCAUCAAGCUUACCCAUGGGUUGGCCCAUGGAUCCUUAUUAGCUAAUGGAUCAUGGUUUGGGCUUAACAAUCAAUCUAGCAAUUUCUUUGUUGGGCUUGCACUAUAAUAGUUUGGGCUUCACCUUAUAAAUCACUUGGGUUUAGUAUAAAUCCUACAUAGGUUUACACCUUAUAGUCUAUGGACUUGUAUUUUAUGCCAAGCUAUAUUAAUUCAUUUCAUUAGGUUUUAGUACCUACAUUCUCAAAUUAAGUCCACAAGCAAAAUAUUGCGUUUUCCAUACUUAGAUUAUUAUUACAUAAUCCAUCCCGCCUUGAUAUUCUAACGUUACGUAAUUCUCGGAAGUUCAAAAAUAAUUCCCGAGCAAUAAACGGUGAAUAGUGUUUUUUAUAAACUUUCUCGAAAAACAUUUAUUUUUGUCUUGGAAAUUUAAACACUUUAAUUUUCUCACGUGGUUCGAAUACUACGAUAUUCCGACGUUUCUAGGUUAUAGAACGACAUACAUCUUAUUAACACAUAUAAUAACAAAUAAUAUUAUUUUAUUCAUUAAUUAAUUCUUUCAAAUAUUUUUACAAAGGAUCCGAAUUUCUCGGGCGUUACAUUAGGUCUUUGACUACACAUGCAUCUUAAGUAAGUCUCUACACACUGAUUCAAUUUCUCAGACUGACCAUUACUUUGAGGAUGGUAAGCUGUGCUAAGUUGCAAACGAGUACCCAAUGGCUGCCAUAAAUGCCCAAUAAAAUUUUUAUCCCUAUUUGAAACUAUUGAUGAGGGUAAUCCAUGCAAUUUAUAAAUGUUGUCAAGGAAUAUAGUAGCUAUAUCAGUAAUAGUAAAUGGAUGUUUCAACCCCACAAAAUGAGCAUAUUUGGUAAGUCUGUCUAUGACUACCAAAAUAGAAGUAUACCCAUGAGACUUAGGUAACCCUUCAAUAAAAUCCAUGGCAAUAUCCUUCCAUGGUGUUUCAGGAAUAGCCAAGGGUUAUAACAACCUAGGAGUAGCGCUAGUUUCAUGCUUGCUUAGCUGACAAACCUCACAUUCUUUUACAAAUGUGAUCACAUUAGACCUUAGAGUAGGCCAAUAAAAAUACUGAGAUAUCCUUUCAAAAGUACCUCUGCGCCCUGAAUGGCCCCCAAUGGGAGAACUGUGAAAUUCUUGUAAAAGUUUGAGCCUUACCUCUGAAGAAUUUCCCACAACCAACUUACCCUUAUACCGCAUCCUUCCAUUCACAAAAGAAUAAUCAAGUACUGAGGAAGGACUCAGUACUAAUUGAGAGAUAAUUUGUUGCAGGUCUGCAUCAGUUGCCAAUAUUUUAGCUACAUCUUGAACCCAUUUAGGUAAUAUUGUAGUGAGAGCUGAUCAAUUUUGAACACCAGUUCCCAUUCCACACAUAGAAUUUUCAACAAAUUACCUAGACAAUCCAUUUGCUGCUAAAUUCUCCUUGCCUUUCUUGUACCAUAUCUCGUAAUCUAGUCCCAUGAGCUUGGUAAUCCACUUUUGCUGAUUAGUAGUAGUAAUUCGUUGAGCCAACAAAUACUUGAGACUUUGAUGAUUUAUUUUAAUAAUGAAUUUUUUGCCCACUAGAUAAUGUCUCCAUUUCUUCACCGCAUAUACAACAACCAUCAGUUCUUUCUCAUAGGUCGAUAAUCCUAAAUGCUUAGAAGCAAUGGCCUUGCUUAAAAAAGAAAUUGGUCUAUCCCUCUGCAUUAACACUACUCCUAUACUAAUACCACUAUCAUUAGUCUCUACUACAAAUGGAAUGGUAAAAUUAGGCAUAAAUAAAACUGGAGCAUUAACCAUAGCUUGUUUAAGAUUGUCAAAAGCUGCCUCAGCCUCAGGACUCCAUUGAAAUUGAUCUUUCCUUAACAUGUCAGUUAAUGGCUUAUUAAGAAAACCAUAAUGCUUAAUAAAUUUUCUAUAGUAUCCUGUUAAACCCAAGAAUCCUCUUAAACUCUUAAGGUUCAUGAGCUUGGGCCACUUAACCAUACAUUCCACCUUAGUUGGAUUAGUUGAUACUCCUUUAGAAGUAAUGAUAUGACCAAGGUAUUGUACCUUUUUGUAGCAAAGGUACACUUGGACAUUUUUGCAUACAAUUCAUGUUGCCUUCCUACAAAGUCAUCUNNNNNNNNNNNNNNNNNNNNNNNNNNNNNNNNNNNNNNNNNNNNNNNNNNNNNNNNNNNNNNNNNNNNNNNNNNNNNNNNNNNNNNNNNNNNNNNNNNNNUUUUGAAUCAGGGAUUUUUAAUCUACAUUUGUGAUUGAAGUUUACAUUUUUUAUUUUGAUUUAUUAUACGUUUUACAUGUUCAAUUAUUUGAUUUAGCUGCUUCUUUCGUGCAGUUCGUUGUGAUUUUUGAUUUGUUAGACUUAUCUUGUACGAGAAAAUGGCAUCCCGAUUUUGGACCCAGGUUUGUGUGUGAUUUGAUACCCAGUUUAGUUGUUGAUUUCAAGAUCAAUUAUCAAACUACCCUUCUGCUUCUAGUGAUCAAUUUAUGUUUCUAUUUCUAUUUUUCUGAAUGUGAUUUAUGUUUAAUUUUCUAAUGAAUCAAUGAGAGGGAGAUAGUGAAUUCGAGGAAGAGGAGAGUGAUUAUGAGAAGGAGGAUAAUACUGCCGGAGUGGGAGACUCUGCAGCUGAAACCGCGGGUAGCAGAUAUCUCCAGGAUAAAGCAAGCGACGUUGAUGAUUCGGAUGGGCAGAAACACUUGGUAAAAUCGGCCAAGGACAAGCGCUUUGAGGAGAUGGCAUCAACUGUUGAUCAGAUGAAGAACUAAAUGAAGAUUAAUGAUUUAGUUAGUCUACAAGAGAGUUAUGAUAAGAUUAAUAAGUAGCUUGAGAAGGCCAUGAGGGUCACAUAAUCAGAGAAGGUCCCCAAUCUUUACGUUAAAGCUCUUGUUAUGUUGGAGGACUUCUUGAAUCAGGCCAUGGUGAAUAAGGAGGCCAAAAAGAAAAUGAGUAGCAGUAAUGCUAAGGCCUUGAAUUCAAUGAAACAGAAACUGAAGAAAAACAACAGGCAGUAUGAGGAGG